AGUGAACGCUGGCGGUAGGCCUAACACAUGCAAGUCGAACGGCAGCACAGUAAGAGCUUGCUCUUACGGGUGGCGAGUGGCGGACGGGUGAGGAAUACAUCGGAAUCUACUUUUUCGUGGGGGAUAACGUAGGGAAACUUACGCUAAUACCGCAUACGACCUACGGGUGAAAGCAGGGGAUCUUCGGACCUUGCGCGAUUGAAUGAGCCGAUGUCGGAUUAGCUAGUUGGCGGGGUAAAGGCCCACCAAGGCGACGAUCCGUAGCUGGUCUGAGAGGAUGAUAAGCCACCCUGGAACGGAGACACGGUCCAGACUCCUACGGGAGGCAGCAGUGGGGAAUAUUGGACAAUGGGCGCAAGCCUGAUCCAGCCAUACCGAGUGGGUGAAGAAGGCCUUCGGGUUGUAAAGCCCUUUUGUUGGGAAAGAAAAGCAGCAGGUUAAUACCCCGCUGUUCUGACGGUACCCAAAGAAUAAGCACCGGCUAACUUCGUG
rnacentral:rRNA from 1 species